GCUUACCUACCUCGCUCGUAAAACUUUUUAAGUUUUGAUCCUAUGUUUAAUACGGGAACCGAGUACUGUUUUGAGUACAACAAGCCUUACACGAAGGAAGUUGGAAAUUUCAGUUUAGGUGCCCACCUGCGUGAGGCAGGGUCAUGAAACUUGAAAGUUUACGGCCAGGCGGCAAAGAC
rnacentral:other from 1 species